UUCCUACUCCCUAUAUCCGGAAAUACUUGUCGAAAAAAUGGAUGUUUCUAGACAUAAUUUAGUCCUAGAUACAUCCAUUUCUAACCAUUUUCGCGACAAGUAAUUCCGGACGGAGGGAGUACCAU
rfam:Triticum aestivum genome assembly, contig: Triticum_aestivum_CS42_TGACv1_scaffold_344052_4DL